rnacentral:misc_RNA from 1 species
AUUAGUUUUCAGUUUAAUUGUUGAAUAAGCCGGUAAUAGAGCUUCUCAACAACCAAUUUCUCUAGUUUGAAUUGUCAUUGACAUUAUUAUUGUUGACAACAAAGGAAGUAAUACUAAAGGCAACACUGAUAGCACAAGCACCGGGACUUGUCUUCAUUAAUAAUACGUCAAAUGCAAAAUCCACAUUGACAGUGGCACAAUAUUACCAGUAUACUGCUACCAUUGGUAACAGAAGAAUUUACAAAAACAAG